CACAGAGUUAGCCGGUGCUUAUUCUGUCGGUAACGUCAAAAUUGCAGAGUAUUAAUCUACAACCCUUCCUCCCAACUUAAAGUGCUUUACAAUCCGAAGACCUUCUUCACAUACGCGGCAUGGCUGGAUCAGGCUUUCGCCCAUUGUCCAAUAUUCCCCA
rnacentral:rRNA from 1 species